AUUGAACGCUGGCGGCAUGCUUUACACAUGCAAGUCGAACGGUAACAGGCCGCAAGGUGCUGACGAGUGGCGAACGGGUGAGUAAUGCAUCGGAACGUGCCCAGUCGUGGGGGACAACUACUCGAAAGAGUAGCUAAUACCGCAUACGAUCUAUGGAUGAAAGCGGGGGACCGUAAGGCCUCGCGCGAUUGGAGCGGCCGAUGUCAGAUUAGGUAGUUGGUGGGGUAAAGGCUCACCAAGCCAACGAUCUGUAGCUGGUCUGAGAGGACGACCAGCCACACUGGGACUGAGACACGGCCCAGACUCCUACGGGAGGCAGCAGUGGGGAAUUUUGGACAAUGGGCGCAAGCCUGAUCCAGCAAUGCCGCGUGCAGGAAGAAGGCCUUCGGGUUGUAAACUGCUUUUGUACGGAACGAAACGGCUCUGGUUAAUACCCGGGGCUAAUGACGGUACCGUAAGAAUAAGCACCGGCUAACUACGU
rnacentral:rRNA from 1 species